rnacentral:rRNA from 1 species
UACAGAGGUCUCAAGCGUUUGUCCGGAAUCAUUGGGCGUAAAGAGCGUGUAGGCGGUUUGGUAGGUCCGCUGUGAAAACUCGAGGCUCAACCUCGAGACGCCGGUGGAAACCAUCAGGCUAGAGUCCGGAAGAGGAGAGUGGAAUUCCGUGGUGUAGCGGUGAAAUGACGCAGAUAUCAGGAAGAACACCCCGUGGCUAAGGCGGCUCUCUAGUACGGUACUGACGCUGAGACGCGAAAGCGUGGGGGAGCGAACAGG